CCUUCCCUUCCCUUCCCUUCCCUUCCCUUCCCUUCCCUUCCCCAACUUUAAAAGUUAUCAGGUUAUUUUUUCUUUCCAUGGAGGGUCCCAGACCCCAGGACAGCAGCGCUGGAUGGGGAUUCAGGAGGUUUGGGAAUGUUUUAUUCCCACAGCUGCUCUGGGAAUUCUAUUCCAGGGUUUCCCCACCCUCACAGGGAAUAAUUUCUUCCUAAUCUCUGAAACCAGCCUUUCCUCUGGCAGUUUGAAGCCAUUCCCCCUUGUCUAUCACUCUCUCCAUGUUCUUUCAGGCUCCCUUCAGGUACUGGAAGGGACAAUUUGGUGACCCCAGAGCCUCUUGCAGCAGCUUUGGCCCCCCUGCAGUUCACUCCCCGCUGAGGGAGGAAAGCUGCCCAUUUUCCAUGGUUUAAUGACAGGACAGCUGGAUGUGGGGAUGAUGGCAAGGUGCUCAGCCACGAUGCUCACAGGUGACACAACAUCCACAGCACUCUCCUGGAACCUCAGCACGGAGAGCCACAGCUCUGCCCUCCCCAGCACGGAUUGAUCAUCACAGAGAACAACAAGCAGCAGCUGGUGCCUUCCACUCGUGCUCCCAGAAGAAGCACAAAGACACCUUUGGAGACACUACAGGACAAAGAAUUGGGAAGAAAAGGUAAAGCUGGGGGCUGUUCCAGGAGCCCAAGUGUCACAGCUGGGCUCCCUGGGAUGGGUGAGGACGGGGGGUCCCUGGAGGAGGGAAGAGGGGCUGGCAGCUCAGGCUGCACGUGCCUGCAGAGCAGGAGGUGCUCAACUCCCACCAGGAAUCCAGUGCCUUGCCCGAACGCCUCCAUCACUAAUCUAAAAUUUGUCUGCCUUCUGCAUUUGAUCUCCUCAUUUUCCUCUUCUAUGCCUUUUUAAUGCUGUUUGUAGCCUUUUCAAUUAUGUGAUUUCCUUAUCUGUGUACCAUGGAGAAUACUGUACAAGGCUUUAUAAACAGCUCCUAAGUUUAUCUGCCUGUCAUUUGCUUUUCAUUAUGCGAGAUAACAAUCUUCCUCAUAUCUUAUAAGAAGAUAGAAUGUGAUUGUUUUGAAAUGGGGAGGGGGGAAAAAGUCUACUCUGCAUUAUCCUCAGCCCCGUAGCGUUUGGAACGUCACCAGUGUCAGCACAAUCGCCAACAUUUUUCCUUGCUGUGGUCCAGGAAGAAUUAUCUCCGUAGUUUUUUUGUGCUUGCUGCUAUCUCCUCUUUUUCUCCAUUUUAGACACAGAGAGGUUCUUAUCUGGAGCGUGGUUCUGCAGCUACAGAUUUGCCUAAAUUCAGUGUGAUGGCUCCAAACCCUUUGGUGGAGCUCGUGCACCGAGGGGAAGGGUGAGAGGCAAUUGUCAGCAGCUCGCUGGAUUAAAUACGGACAGAUAUUAUUCAUGUCAUUUGACAGUUCCUGACUUUCAGCUGUAUAAUGACAGAGCAACAGUAGGAAUUCCAGCAGCCCAGCUUCUGUCUUACUUCAAGAUAAGCUUAUCAAGCGUAGCCUGAAUCCAUCCAGCUCCUCAGCAGAUCAGAACUCGUGUCAGGCUGAACGGCCCUGCCGAUUCCUGCCUCCUCCCCUGCUCUGAUUUUUCCCAUCUCACGCUGCCUUGCAGGGUUUUUAGCAGAGCCUGUGCCUUGCCUGUGCUCAGCUCCUUGUCCAGGAGCCUCCUGGUGCCCCUGAGUGCCCCAGGAACAGGAACAGGGAAGGAAGGGACCGGGUGAUGGUCAGCCCCGGUGGGGUUUGCUCUCUUCAUCCAUUCCUUGGUCUACAAAGAGCAGCUGCUUUGUUUGGCUUCUUAAGGUGAAAAAGCCAGCCUGAGGUUUCUGCUGUGCUUUUAUCCCAGGGGUUCAGAGGGAUCUCUGAACAAUGCAGGAAUCACAGCUGUCCCUGCA
ensembl:lncRNA